GCGCAGCAGGCGAGAAUAUUGGGCAAUGGGCGAAAGCCUGACCCAGCGACGCCGCGUGCCGGAAGAAGCCCUUCGGGGUGUAAACGGCUUUUCUGGGGGAGGAAUCUCUGAGGCAAAACCUCAGAGUGACAGUACCCCAGGAAUAAGGGACGACUAACUUCGUGCCAGCAGUCGCGGUAAGACGAAGGUCCCCAGCGUUACCCGGAUUUACUGGGCGUAAAGGACGAGAAGGCGGGAACGUAAGUUUACCCUAAAAGUCACCGAGCUCAACUCGGUGAAUGGGGUAAAUACUGCGUUCCUAGAGUCUGCCAGGGGCCAGCGGAACGGUCGGUGUAGGGGUGAAAUCCGAUGAUAUCGACCGGAACGCCGAAGGCGAAGGCAGCUGGCUAGGGCAGUACUGACGCUGAUCUCGUGAAAGCCAGGGGCGCGAACCGGAUUAGAUACCCGGGUAGUCCUGGCCGUAAACGAUGGGUGCUAGCUUUGGGGAGAGUCGACCCUCUCUGAGGCGAAGCUAACGCGUUAAGCACCCCGCCUGGGGAGUAUGUCCGCAAGGCCGAAACUCAAAGGAAUAGGCGGAAGCCCGACCAAGCGGUGGACCAUGUUGCUUAAUUCGAGAGUGACCGA
rnacentral:rRNA from 1 species